UACGUAGGGGGCAAGCGUUGUCCGGAUUUACUGGGCGUAAAGAGCGCGCAGGCGGCCAAGUCAGUCGAAUGUGAAAGCCCCCGGCUUAACUGGGGAGGGUCAUUCGAUACUGCUCGGCUCGAAGACAGGAGAGGGAAGCGGAAUUCCCGGUGUAGUGGUGAAAUGCGUAGAGAUGGGGGAGAACACUCGUGGCGAAGGCGGCCAGCUAGACCAGUUCUGACACUGAGGCGCGACAGCGUGGGGAGCAAACAGG
rnacentral:rRNA from 1 species